rnacentral:rRNA from 1 species
GACGAACGCUGGCGGCGUGCCUAACACAUGCAAGUCGAGCGGGGUUGAAGCGAGAGGUAACUCGAACUUCUACCUAGCGGCGGACGGGUGAGUAACGCGUGGGCAACCUGCCUCAAGGUCUGGGAUAACAGCCCGAAAGGGCUGCUAAUACUGGGUAUGCUUGUGGCCUCGCAUGGGGCUAUGAGCAAAGGGGAAACCCGCCUUGAGAUGGGCCCGCGUCCCAUCAGCUAGUUGGUGAGGUAACAGCUCACCAAGGCGACGACGGGUAGCCGGCCUGAGAGGGUGACCGGCCACACUGGGACUGAGACACGGCCCAGACUCCUACGGGGGGCAGCAGUGGGGAUCUUGCACAAUGGGCGUAAAGCCUGAUGCAGCGACGCCGCGUGAGCGAAGAAGGCCUUCGGGUUGUAAAGCUACUGUCUGGAGGGACGAAGGAAGUGACGGUACCGUCCGGAGGAAGCCACAGCUAACUACGUGCCAGCAGCCGCGGUAACUCACGAGUAACG